CAGUUUCUGAAAUAUGUUCUGUUUUUUCUCCCUCUGCUUGCUUCUUACUGUCUUUGAGGCCGAUCGGGACCAGCACUCCUGCUGUUGGACAGAAAGACAUCAACUCAGUGACUUGAGAUAUGACUGCACUAUGCUGUUGCUGUGACUCCAGUUAAUUCUACAAGACAUGCUGUGACAACAGGAGAGAUGAGUCCUCCGUCACAGAUGGUGUGGCCAGUGAAGAUGGUCGCCUGCAGGUUCAAGCUCAUUGCAUCUCCAACCCACAUCCACUGCCACUGUACUUAAGGGAAGUUAAAGACUUUCUUCUGCACCUACAUUUGGAUCACCUCGAUCCAUGACAGUCAUUCAGGCAGUAAUGCCUGGACUGGAAACAAGCAUCCUUAAAAUAUUACAACAUUCCAGCUCCUGUGUUGGAAUGAAAAACGAAUGUGUUGUUUAAAUUAGAGACUGCACUUGUGACAGAACAACAAAUAUUUUAUUUUGAUUAUAUAAGUAAUGUAAGUACAAAACAAACUUG